CUCCAGGACAUCAGCUUGCAUCUAAGCCCUGGACAAAUUCUAGUGUCCCAGCUAAAGGAGCAGAGCAAGACAAUCCAAAGGAAGCAGGAGAAGGUGAACGUGAGGACAGAAUAGCAAGCUGGUGGGUCUACUGAAGCCUUAACAAGUCUCUUUGCAGGAAAAAGUAUUCCUUCUGGCACCUUAUUUCUGCACCCCAAAAAGUGACUUCAUUCCUGUGAAACAAUGGAGAGUCUCCAAAAGAGAGGAAGAGGCAGAAAGUGAAGCAAUGAAGUAAAAAAAGUAUGAAAACAUCAGGAAGAGGAGGAAGGAGUCCUGAAGAUGGAUCAUGGAGGAAAGGGUGAAGGAGGGGAAAGUGACAGGAAAGAUCAAGAAAAGAAGGGGAAAAGGGUCCUGGUGGCGAAUGCGGCUGCCUCCCCUGCAGAGAGGCUGAGCCUGGAGGGAGCAAGAAGCUCAGCUGCACCGGGCACCUGCAGGAGAAGGACUCAUCGCUCCGUGCUGGUACCGUUGUCGGCAGUGCUCUCGCCGACUGCAAGACUGGUGGAAGCAUCAAAGGGGUGCCCUUGGAAUGUGUGCCUAAUGAUGAUCAAUGAAAAUAGAAGCCCUGUUGCAGCGAGACUCAUGAGGUCCUGCUCACAGCUGGCACACGGAGGCAUGGCUGUAAAAAGAAGAUGCUGGGCAUUAGGACUGAUAGUCCCACCAGAUUCCUCCUCACCUUGGAAAACCCUUGUCUCCUCCCAGCAGGGGAGAUGGGCCGCCUGUCCUGGUGUGGAUAGUGGUGUGCCAGCCAGAUGCUCUGCGAGCAGGGACUCAAAGUUAGUGCCUUGUUCUCAGCUCAGCAAUCUCUGA
rnacentral:lncRNA from 1 species